UUUUUCCCGGGUCGAAGAUAGAUGGCUCCCAAAUCCGAUAUCACCGAAGGUAAAUAACCUCCGAAUCUCAAGAAAACACUCCAAUAACUUUAAGCCUUCAUGACGAAUUAGAACUCAAAUCGUGCUCGAUCGCUUCUUAAUAACGGUUUUAGGUUCUGUUUAUUAUUUAAAGCUUUAAAAUAUCAUCUCUUUGUCUGCAGCUAUCGUGCUCAACUUCGUGAAUGAGGUACGUAACCCUUUCCCAUUUUUACUACAGAAGAAAUAAAUUUCAUCUAUAAAUUUGAAUUUUCGGUAGGGUAGCAAAAUAGGCCAUUGAAUUCUCAAAAUGUGGCUGACUUGUUGCAAAAGUUCAACCUAAAAAAGGCAGCAAUACAGAAAACACUGGGUAAUCUUUCGGAUAAUGGGAAGAUGUCGUUUAAGGAGUAUGGUAAGCAGAAGAUACAUCUUGCUCGGAAAGAUCAUUUUAACAUUCCCAACAGCCAAGAGCUUAAUCAGAUGAAGGAAGAAAAUGCUAAACUGCAGCAACAGCUGGAUGAGCAGAAGAGAGCUAUUAGUGAGGUUGAGGGCGGUCUGUUCUAUACGCGGCCGUUAUGUGUUCCAAAGAAGUAGGCUCUUUUUUUUUCCUUUCAUUAAAUGAAAUGAAUAUUGCCUGGUUGAAUCUGAUGAAUUUCCGCGUUAGAACAACUACUUAAGAUGUCUCAAUUGUUUUAAUAUGGUAUGAGAAAUACUGAUUGAUGUACACAAAGCUUGACACGGAUUUCAGCUUUGUGAAUUUCAGGAGAAGUACUGCUAACAAAAAUAUGAUGGGAGCUGGGUUGAUGUACACUAUUGCAGAAAUUAGAACCUUGGAGUCGAAUCUGACACUGCAACAGAUACACGAUAAAGAAGCCAAGCUGAGGAAGAGGGUAAAUUACGCGUGGGCUUUUGAAGUGCUUCUUUAGUGGGAGUCUUUUGAAGUUGUUUCUGUGAAGAAGAAUGGAUAGAGCUCAGGACUUCUGAUUUCCGUAUCAGGUUAAGGAAAUGGAAGACAAAUUGGUAAAAUUACGCGAAGGAGUUACCUUGGUCAGGCCAGAAGAGCGGCAGGCAAUUGAGGAAAUGUAUUCAGAGAAAUUAAGUCAGUGGAGAAAAAAGGAUGUUCAAGGAUGUGUGGGGUGUCAUAACCGAGAACUCACCCCAGGAUCUAAAAGAAUUUAAGGAGGAACUUGGACUUGAAUAUGAUGAAGAGAUGUUAGUGUGAGCUUGCAGUCAUUUAGUGACCUGCUGCAACGUUGCAAGAAGCGAGCCAGGGGCCAGUAACUUUAUAGAUUCCUCUGUUUUUUUACAAAAUUCAGUAAAGAUACAAGGCAAUCACAACCAAAACAACAAAAUAA